rnacentral:lncRNA from 1 species
AUGUUGGUCCUUUUGCUGGUUUAUGCUGGUCCUUUUGCUGGUUUAUGUUGGUCCUUUUGCUGGUUUAUGCUGGUCCUUUUGCUGAUUUAUGUUGGUCCUUUUGCUGAUUUAUGUUGGUCCUUUUGCUGGUUUAUGUUGGUCCUUUUGCUGAUUUAUGUUGGUCCUUUUGCUGGUUUGUCCUUUUGCUGGUUUAUGCUGGUCCUUUUGCUGAUUUAUGUUGGUCCUUUUGCUGGUUUAUGCUGGUCCUUUUGCUGGUUUAUGUUGGUCCUUUUGCUGGUUUAUGCUGGUCCUUUUGCUGGUUUAUGUUGGUCCUUUUGCUGGUUUAUGCUGGUCCUUUUGCUGAUUUAUGUUGGUCCUUUUGCUGGUUUAUGCUGGUCCUUUUGCUGGUUUAUGUUGGUCCUUUUGCUGGUUUAUGCUGGUCCUUUUGCUGGUUUAUGUUGGUCCUUUUGCUGGUUUAUGUUGGUCAUUUUGCUGGUUUAUGCUGGUCCUUUUGCUGGUUUAUGUUGGUCCUUUUGCUGGUUUAUGCCGGUCCUUUUGCUGGUUUAUGUUGGUCCUUUUGCUGGUUUAUGUUGGUCCUUUUGCUGGUUUAUGUUGGUCCUUUUGCUGGUUUAUGCUGGUCCUUUUGCUGGUUUAUGCUGGUCCUUUUGCUGGUUUAUGCUGGUCCUUUUGCUGGUUUAUGCUGGUUUAUGUUGGUCCUUUUGCUGGUUUAUGCUGGUCCUUUUGCUGGUUUAUGUUGGUUUAUGUUGGUCCUUUUUCUGGUUUAUGCUGAUCCUUUUGCUGGUUUAUGUUGGUCCUUUUGCUGGUUUAUGCUGGUCCUUUUGCUGGUUUAUGUUGGUCCUUUUGCUGGUUUAUGCUGGUUUAUGUUGGUCCUUUUGCUGGUUUAUGCUGGUCCUUUUGCUGGUUUAUGCUGGUCCUUUUGCUGGUUUAUGUUGGUCCUUUUGCUGGUUUAUGCUGGUUUAUGUUGGUCCUUUUGCUGGUUUAUGCUGGUCCUUUUGCUGGUCCUUUUGCUGGUUUAUGCUGGUUUAUGCUGGUCCUUUUGCUGGUUUAUGCUGGUCCUUUUGCUGGUUUAUGCUGGUCCUUUUGCUGGUUUAUGUUGGUCCUUUUGCUGGUUUAUGCUGGUCCUUUUGCUGGUUUAUGUUGGUCCUUUUGCUGGUUUAUGCUGAUCCUUUUGCUGGUUUAUGCUGGUCCUUUUGCUGGUUUAUACUGGUCCUUUUGCUGGUUUAUGCUGGUUUAUGUUGGUCCUUUUGCUGGUUUAUGCUGGUCCUUUUGCUGGUUUAUGCUGGUCCUUUUUCUGGUUUAUGUUGGUCCUUUUGCUGGUUUAUGCUGGUUUAUGUUGGUCCUUUUGCUGGUUUAUGCUGGUCCUUUUUCUGGUUUAUGUUGGUCCUUUUGCUGGUUUAUGCUGGUUUACGUUGGUCCUUUUGCUGGUUUAUGCUGGUCCUUUUGCUGGUUUAUGCUGGUCCUUUUGCUGGUUUAUGCUGA